rnacentral:rRNA from 1 species
AGAGUUUGAUCCCGGCUCAGGACGAACGCUGGCGGCGUGCCUAAUACAUGCAAGUCGAGCGGACAGAUGGGAGCUUGCUCCCUGAUGUUAGCGGCGGACGGGUGAGUAACACGUGGGUAACCUGCCUGUAAGACUGGGAUAACUCCGGGAAACCGGGGCUAAUACCGGAUGGUUGUUUGAACCGCAUGGUUCAAACAUAAAAGGUGGCUUCGGCUACCACUUACAGAUGGACCCGCGGCGCAUUAGCUAGUUGGUGAGGUAACGGCUCACCAAGGCAACGAUGCGUAGCCGACCUGAGAGGGUGAUCGGCCACACUGGGACUGAGACACGGCCCAGACUCCUACGGGAGGCAGCAGUAGGGAAUCUUCCGCAAUGGACGAAAGUCUGACGGAGCAACGCCGCGUGAGUGAUGAAGGUUUUCGGAUCGUAAAGCUCUGUUGUUAGGGAAGAACAAGUACCGUUCAAAUAGGGCGGUACCUUGACGGUACCUAACCAGAAAGCCACGGCUAACUACGUGCCAGCAGCCGCGGUAAUACGUAGGUGGCAAGCGUUGUCCGGAAUUAUUGGGCGUAAAGGGCUCGCAGGCGGUUUCUUAAGUCUGAUGUGAAAGCCCCCGGCUUAACCGGGGAGGGUCAUUGGAAACUGGGGAACUUGAGUGCAGAAGAGGAGAGUGGAAUUCCACGUGUAGCGGUGAAAUGCGUAGAGAUGUGGAGGAACACCAGUGGCGAAUGCGACUCUCUGGUCUGUAACUGACGCUGAGGAGCGAAAGCGUGGGGAGCGAACAGGAUUAGAUACCCUGGUAGUCCACGCCGUAAACGAUGAGUGCUAAGUGUUAGGGGGGUUUCCGCCCCUUAGUGCUGCAGCUAACGCAUUAGCACUCCGCCUGGGGAGUACGGUCGCAAGACUGAACCUGAAGGAUUGACGGGGGCCCGCACAACCGGUGACAUGUGUUUACUCGAAACACGCGAACACCUUACCAGUCUGACAUCUCUGACAUCUAGAGAAGGACGUACCCUUCGGCGCCAGAUGGACAGAUGAGCAU